UACGUAGGGACCGAGCGUUGUCCGGAUUCAUUGGGCGUAAAGAGCUCGUAGGCGGCCACUCAAGUCGAAUGUGAAACCUCGAGGCUUAACCUCGAGCCUGCAUUCGGUACUGGGCGGCUAGAGUCUGGUAGGGGGAUCUGGAAUUCCUGGUGUAGCGGUGGAAUGCGCAGAUAUCAGGAGGAACACCGGUGGCGAAGGCGGCCACCUGGACGGUAACUGACGCUGAGACGCGAAAGCGUGGGGAGCGAACAGG
rnacentral:rRNA from 1 species